rnacentral:rRNA from 1 species
GAUGAACGCUGGCGGCGUGCCUAAUACAUGCAAGUCGAGCGAACAGAUAAGGAGCUUGCUCCUUUGAAGUUAGCGGCGGACGGGUGAGUAACACGUGGGUAACCUACCUAUAAGACUGGGAUAACUUCGGGAAACCGGAGCUAAUACCGGAUAACAUUUAGAACCGCAUGGCUCUAAAGUGAAAGAUGGUUUUGCUAUCACUUAUAGAUGGACCCGCGCCGUAUUAGCUAGUUGGUAAGGUAACGGCUUACCAAGGCGACGAUACGUAGCCGACCUGAGAGGGUGAUCGGCCACACUGGAACUGAGACACGGUCCAGACUCCUACGGGAGGCAGCAGUAGGGAAUCUUCCGCAAUGGGCGAAAGCCUGACGGAGCAACGCCGCGUGAGUGAUGAAGGGUUUCGGCUCGUAAAACUCUGUUAUUAGGGAAGAACAAAUGUGUAAGUAACUGUGCACAUCUUGACGGUACCUAAUCAGAAAGCCACGGCUAACUACGUG